GCAAUGCCGCGUGCAGGAUGAAGGCCUUCGGGUUGUAAACUGCUUUUGUACGGAACGAAACGGCGAGCUCUAAUACAGUUUGCUAAUGACGGUACCGUAAGAAUAAGCACCGGCUAACUACGUGCCAGCAGCCGCGGUAAUACGUAGGGUGCGAGCGUUAAUCGGAAUUACUGGGCGUAAAGCGUGCGCAGGCGGUGAUGUAAGACAGAUGUGAAAUCCCCGGGCUCAACCUGGGACCUGCAUUUGUGACUGCAUCGCUAGAGUACGGCAGAGGGGGAUGGAAUUCCGCGUGUAGCAGUGAAAUGCGUAGAUAUGCGGAGGAACACCGAUGGCGAAGGCAAUCCCCUGGGCCUGUACUGACGCUCAUGCACGAAAGCGUGGGGAGCAAACAGGAUUAAAUACCCUGGUAGUCCACGCCCUAAACGAUGUCAACUGGUUGUUGGGUCUUCACUGACUCA
rnacentral:rRNA from 1 species